rnacentral:rRNA from 1 species
GCAAGUCGAGCGCGCCGUUCGGUGUGGGCGGCGGACGGGUGAGUAACGCGUGGGAAUAUGCCCUUCUCUAAGGAAUAGCCUCUGGAAACGGAGAGUAAUACCUUAUACGCCCUUUGGGGGAAAGAUUAGUCGGAAAAGGAUUAGCCCGCGUUAGAUUAGGUAGUUGGUGGGGUAAUGGCCUACCAAGGCUACGAUCUAUAGCUGGUUUGAGAGGAUGAUC